rnacentral:rRNA from 1 species
CUCCAAUAGCGUAUAUUAAAGUUGUUGCAGUUAAAACGCUCGUAGUCGGAUUUCGGGGCGGGCCUGCCGGUUUGCCGAUGGGUAUAUACUGGUGGGUGCGUCCUUCCUUCCGGAGACCGCGCCUCCUCUUAACUGAGCGGGCGUGGGAGACGGAUCGUUUACUUUGAAAAAAUCAGAGUGUUUCAAGCAGGCAUUUCGCU